AGAUGUGACAUCUGCCUGUGACAUUUAUCACCUCUAUGAUCAGCAGGGUUGAUUCAGCUAACCUGGCUGGCUAAGCAGGUGUCCACUUCAUGCCUUUACUGGUCCAUGUACGGUGAUCCUAAGACAAGGAAGUCUGUUCUUCAGGCAAAGGUAUACAAGUAACUAUGCUGCCCUCUACAAUCUCCCAGAAAGCUUAAAAACUUGUGAAAAGAAUGAGUAGCAUCAUUUUAAAUUUUUAAAAAUUAUUUUAGAUUUUUUAACAUCUUU
ensembl:misc_RNA 7SK 7SK RNA